GACGAACGCUGGCGGCGUGCUUAACACAUGCAAGUCGAACGGAAAGGCCCUGCUUUUGUGGGGUGCUCGAGUGGCGAACGGGUGAGUAACACGUGAGUAACCUGCCCUUGACUUUGGGAUAACUUCAGGAAACUGGGGCUAAUACCGGAUAGGAGCUCCUGCUGCAUGGUGGGGGUUGGAAAGUUUCGGCGGUUGGGGAUGGACUCGCGGCUUAUCAGCUUGUUGGUGGGGUAGUGGCUUACCAAGGCUUUGACGGGUAGCCGGCCUGAGAGGGUGACCGGCCACAUUGGGACUGAGAUACGGCCCAGACUCCUACGGGAGGCAGCAGUGGGGAAUAUUGCACAAUGGGCGGAAGCCUGAUGCAGCAACGCCGCGUGCGGGAUGACGGCCUUCGGGUUGUAAACCGCUUUCGCCCGUGACGAAGCGUGAGUGACGGUAAUGGGUAAAGAAGCACCGGCUAACUACGUGCCAGCAGCCGCGGUGAUACGUAGGGUGCGAGCGUUGUCCGGAUUUAUUGGGCGUAAAGGGCUCGUAGGUGGUUGAUCGCGUCGGAAGUGUAAUCUUGGGGCUUAACCCUGAGCGUGCUUUCGAUACGGGUUGACUUGAGGAAGGUAGGGGAGAAUGGAAUUCCUGGUGGAGCGGUGGAAUGCGCAGAUAUCAGGAGGAACACCAGUGGCGAAGGCGGUUCUCUGGGCCUUUCCUGACGCUGAGGAGCGAAAGCGUGGGGAGCGAACAGGCUUAGAUACCCUGGUAGUCCACGCUGUAAACGGUGGGUACUAGGUGUGGGGUCCAUUCCACGGGUUCCGUGCCGUAGCUAACGCUUUAAGUACCCCGCCUGGGGAGUACGGCCGCAAGGCUAAAACUCAAAGGAAUUGACGGGGCCCCGCACAAGCGGCGGAGCAUGCGGAUUAAUUCGAUGCAACGCGUAGAACCUUACCUGGGUUUGACAUGGAUCGGGAGUGCUCAGAGAUGGGUGUGCCUCUUUUGGGGUCGGUUCACAGGUGGUGCAUGGCUGUCGUCAGCUCGUGUCGUGAGAUGUUGGGUUAGGUCCCGCAACGAGCGCAACCCUUGUUCACUGUUGCCAGCACGUUAUGGUGGGGACUCAGUGGAGACCGCCGGGGUCAACUCGGAGGAAGGUGGGGAUGACGUCAAGUCAUCAUGCCCCUUAUGUCCAGGGCUUCACGCAUGCUACAAUGGCUGGUACAGAGAGUGGCGAGCCUGUGAGGGUGAGCGAAUCUCGGAAAGCCGGUCUCAGUUCGGAUUGGGGUCUGCAACUCGACCUCAUGAAGUCGGAGUCGCUAGUAAUCGCAGAUCAGCAACGCUGCGGUGAAUACGUUCCCGGG
rnacentral:rRNA from 1 species